AAUGAACGUUGGCGGCAUGGAUUAGGCAUGCAAGUCGAGCGAGAAGUGUAGCAAUACACGGAAAGCGGCGGAAGGGAGAGUAAUACGUGGGAAUCUGCCCUUAGACCUGGGAUAGCAGCGGGAAACUGCUGGUAAUACCAGAUAAUGUCUAUGGACCAAAGGUGUGAUUCCGUCUAGGGAUGAGCCCACGUCCUAUUAGCUAGUUGGUAGGGUAAUGGCCUACCAAGGCGAUGAUGGGUAGCGGGUGUGAGAGCAUGACCCGCCUCACUGGGAGUGAGACACUGCCCAGACAGCUACGAGUGGCUGCAGUCGAGAAUCUUCGCCAAGGGGCGCAAGCCUGACCGAGCGAUGCCGCGUGCGGGAUGAAGGCCUUCGGGUUGUAAACCGCUGUCGAGGGGGAGCAACUUCCAUAGAGUUAUCUUUAUGGAUUGAGUGAUCCCUGGAGGAAGGACGGGCUAAGUUCGUGCCAGCAGCAGCCGCAGUAA
rnacentral:rRNA from 1 species